rfam:Lupinus angustifolius cultivar Tanjil chromosome LG01, whole genome shotgun sequence.
GUUGAGGGGAAUGUUGGCUGGCUCGAGGCUUUUUACAAAUCAAUGUUCGUAGUUUUGAAGAACAAUAAGGCUUCGGACCAGGCUUCAUUCCCCUCAAA